GGAGGGACCAUAGCUCAGUGAUAGAGCAUUUCUUUGGCAUGCAGAAGGUGCUAGGUUCAAUCCCAAGCCUCUCCU
rnacentral:tRNA from 1 species